rnacentral:misc_RNA from 1 species
GAUGAAGAACGCAGCGAAAUGCGAUAAGUAAUGCGAAUUGCAGAAUUUCCGUGAGUCAUCGAAUCUUUGAACGCACAUUGCGCCCUCUGGUAUUCCGGGGGGCAUGCCUGUUCGAGCGUCAUUAUAACCACUCAAGCUCUCGCUUGGUAUUGGGGUUCGCGGUUUCGCGGCCCCUAAAAUCAGUGGCGGUGCCUGUCGGCUCUACGCGUAGUAAUACUUCUCGCGAUUGAGUUCGAUAGGUCUACUUGCCAGUAACCCCCAAUUUUUACAGGUUGACCUCGGAUCAGGUAGGGAUACCCGCUGAACUUAAGCAUAUCAAUAAGCGGAGGA